GACGUAGGGCGCGAGCGUUGUCCGGAUUUAUUGGGCGUAAAGAGCUCGUAGGCGGCUUGUCGCGUCGUUCGUGAAAACCCACAGCUCAACUGUGGGCUUGCGGUCGAUACGGGCAGGCUCGAGUUCGGUAGGGGAGACUGGAAUUCCUGGUGUAGCGGUGAAAUGCGCAGAUAUCAGGAGGAACACCGGUGGCGAAGGCGGGUCUCUGGGCCGAUACUGACGCUGAGGAGCGAAAGCGUGGGGAGCGAACAGG
rnacentral:rRNA from 1 species